rnacentral:rRNA from 1 species
AGAGUUUGAUCCUGGCUCAGGACGAACGCUGGCGGCGUGCCUAACACAUGCAAGUCGAACGAAGCUUGAAUUCAGAUUUCUUCGGAAUGAAGAAUGAUAUGACUGAGUGGCGGACGGGUGAGUAACGCGUGAGCAACCUGCCCUUCGGAGGGGGAUAGUGUCUGGAAACGGACAGUAAUACCGCAUAACGUAUUUUUACCGCAUGAUAGAAAUACCAAAACUGAGGUGCCGAAGGAUGGGCUCGCGUUGGAUUAGAUAGUUGGUGGGGUAACGGCCUACCAAGUCAACGAUCCAUAGCCGGACUGAGAGGUUGAACGGCCACAUUGGGACUGAGACACGGCCCAGACUCCUACGGGAGGCAGCAGUGGGGAAUAUUGCACAAUGGGGGAAACCCUGAUGCAGCAACGCCGCGUGAAGGAAGACGGUUUUCGGAUUGUAAACUUCUGUUCUUAGUGAAGAAAAAUGACGGUAGCUAAGGAGCAAGCCACGGCUAACUACGUG